rnacentral:lncRNA from 1 species
AGUAUGUGAAUGUGUGCAUUUUGCAUUCCAUAUGAAAAAAAAAUGCCACUUCUGUUUAAAUUAUUUGAUGUAGGUUUGGAUUUUUUGAGAUUUGCUGGUGAAAUCAGUAAUGAAAAAUAAAAGAACCUUCCCUCUUCCUACCCUGUCCCUCCCUCUAAUGAAAUCAUACUAAGUUUUUAUUUUUAUAAUGUUAUACAGCUUUUUUUAAGACAUCAUUUUGGAGAGUCCAAAAUUAUCUGGCUAAAUGUA